ensembl:snRNA Gm23166 predicted gene, 23166
UUGCUUUGACACCACAUAUACCAAAAUUAGAAACAUAUGAAGAAGAUUAGCACUGCCUCUGUGCACAGGACAUGCAAAUUCAUGGAGCAUUCUAUAUUUGU